rnacentral:rRNA from 1 species
UGGGGAAUAUUGCACAAUGGGCGCAAGCCUGAUGCAGCCAUGCCGCGUGUAUGAAGAAGGCCUUCGGGUUGUAAAGUACUUUCAGCGAGGAGGAAGGUGGUAAGGUUAAUAACCUUAUCGAUUGACGUUACUCGCAGAAGAAGCACCGGCUAACUCCGUGCCAGCAGCCGCGGUAAUACGGAGGGUGCAAGCGUUAAUCGGAAUUACUGGGCGUAAAGCGCACGCAGGCGGUCUGUCAAGUCGGAUGUGAAAUCCCCGGGAUCAACCUGGGAACUGCAUUCGAAACUGGCAGGCUAGAGUCUUGUAGAGGGGGGUAGAAUUCCAGGUGUAGCGGUGAAAUGCGUAGAGAUCUGGAGGAAUACCGGUGGCGAAGGCGGCCCCCUGGACAAAGACUGACGCUCAGGUGCGAAAGCGUGGGGAGCAAACA